CCUACGGGUGGCAGCAGUGAGGAAUAUUGGUCAAUGGACGAGAGUCUGAACCAGCCAAGCAGCGUGAAGGAUGACUGCCCUCUGGGUUGUAAACUUCUUUUAUAUGGGAAUAAAAUGUUCCACGUGUGGGAUUUUGUAUGUACCAUAUGAAUAAGGAUCGGCUAACUCCGUGCCAGCAGCCGCGGUAAUACGGAGGAUCCGAGCGUUGUCCGGAUUUAUUGGGUUUAAAGGGAGCGUAGGUGGAUUGUUAAGUCAGUUGUGAAAGUUUGCGGCUCAACCGUAAAAUUGCAGUUGAAACUGGCAGUCUUGAGUACAGUAGAGGUGAGCGGAAUUCGAGGUGUAGCGGUGAAAUGCUUAGAUAUAACGAAGAACUCCGAUUGCGAAGGCAGUUCACUGGACUGCAACUGACACUGAGGCUCGAAAGUGUGGGUAUCAAACAGGAUUAGAUACCCGUGUAGUC
rnacentral:rRNA from 1 species